GAGGAUGGAGUGAGCUUCCCAGAGUCAGUCUGCUACAGCAGCACCACAUCAUCAAUCAUUGUGGGACUGUACCGGGACGACAACAUCCUGGUGUUCAGAGUGGAAUAGUGUGUACAUUCGCUGCUGAGUCAGGACAAGGAUGCUGAGGAUGUGGUGGACAAGGAUGACCUGAAUACACAGAAGGAGAGCCCCGGUUUUGAUAUUGAGUUGAUACGGCAACAGCACCAGUCGGGCCCGCACAAGCCUCAAGUCAAGCACGACCCCUCCCCUGACCCCUAGCUUCUCCCAUUUGACUUCCAGCUUCAAAGGGUCAGCAUCGUUGAACAAAUUCCUCCUAUAAAAAAUUUUGAGCACAAAGAGUUUUCACACAUGGUUCUCAUCAACCACAAUUUUCGUGUCGAGUGAUCCGCACUUGAGUCUGUUUGGUUUGUUAGACCCGAGUGCCAGAGAUGGGACAACCGUUACAGACACAAGGACUUAUUGCAGCAGUUAUGGCAACAUGUACAGUCAGUUCUCAAUGUUGGACUUCACAACUAAUAUCACGAUAAAUGCAAAGUUGGAUAACUCGUUCCAUUCUUUUUGGGACAAACAAUACAACGGAAAGUAACAAGAGAAAAUCAAGGAAUAUUUGUAGAGUUUUUGUCGGAAGCGUAUGCUUACCACUGGCAUACUCCUGGACAGUCGUAACUUUACGGACAGUCCCGGUUUGUCCUCACAGGUGUCCAAACUGUCCAAAGAAACGCACUUUUGACGCAGUUGCUAACUUAGAAAGGCAGCACCUACUUUGUUGUGAACACUCAGAGCAUCCAUGGCCAUGCCUCAGGCGGGAAGUUCGACCAACAGCUGAAACAAGAUGCUAAAGGUGAACCCAUCAGGGUUUGUAACUUCCCACUCCAAUCCUUAACAGCCUGGCAUUGAGUCGGCGCUUGAGAAGGCGUUGAAAAAUGACAGCAGUUUUGUUUUGUGGUCCAGUAUGCCCUUUGGCUCUCAACCUGAUGUUAGGUAGAACUCAAACUGGGCCCUUAGCAAUAUCAGCGAGGCUAGAAUGUCAUCUCUGCAUUUUGAGCUUCAGAAAACAUUAAAAGCAAACAAGACAAACAUCAUGAAUGUUUAGGCAAUCCCAAUCCACUUAUACUACAACUCGCUCAGGAAAUUCAGCACGCCACCUUUUAACAUCUUCUCACAAGGCGCUAAAUCAACACUUCCAACAGCUGAGCCUUGGACAGCACCACCAUUGAUAUCGAGUUGGCCUAGCAACAGCACCAGUCAGGCCUGCAGGAGCCCCAGUCCAGGACGACCCAUCCACUCCCCUGACCCUUAACUCAUCAUACUUGAUAUCCGGAAAAAUGGGGCCUUAUGCAUGUGCUUAAAUUGUUGUCACAGAUAAGCCUAUGCAGUUUGCACAGGCUAAUAAUGGACAACACUUUCCUCUUAAAGCAGAGCACCAGCAUUGAUAACGAGUUGGCCCAGCAACCGCACCAGUCCCGCCUGCAGAAGCCCAAGUCCAGAAUGACCCUCCCCCUCCAUUGACUUCUAAUUCCUCCCCCUUGACCUCCUGCCUCAAAAAGUCAGCAUCGUUGAACAACUCUGUUCUGCAGGAAAUUCUGAGCAUGAUUCUGUUCUGACAAAACGCAAUGCCCACUUUACGUUUUCCAAACAAAAGCCUGGGUAGUUUUGUUAAGCUAGAGUUCCGCGUGGGCCUGAAAGGGACGAGUGUUACAGACAUGAAAAUUUAUAGCAGUAGUUAUGGUAACGCUAACAGUCAGUUGUUGCUGUUGGACAUCACAACAAAUAUCAUGAAGAAUAAAAAGUUCAAUCACUUGUUCCAAUCUUUAUGGGACAAACAGAAAUUAAACAGAAGAGAAUCAAGGAACACUAAAAGCGUAAGCUUUCCUAGUGGUAUACAUCUGCUGUUGAUAGUUUGGACAACAGAAGGGUUAGGGACUGCCCCAGAUUGUCCUCUCAGCGGCCAAAAUAUCAUAAAAGAACAGACUUUUAGCAAUGUUACUGACAAAAAAAGGCAAAAAUGACUUGGUUGUGAACACCCAGAGCGCGAUACAUCCAUUCUGACACAGAAAGGUGGUAAUAACUUAGUUGUGAACACCCAGAGCACAAUACAUCCAUGCUGACACAGAAAGGAAGUAAUGACUUGGUUGUGAACACCCAGAGCACAAUACAUCCAUGCUGACACAGAAAAUAAGUAAUGACUUGGUUGUGAACACCCAGAGCAAGAUAUAUCCAUGCUGACACAGAAAGGCAGUAAUGACUAUGCUGUGAAAAACCCAGAGCACAAUACAUCCAUGCUGACACAGAAAGGCAGUAAUGGCUUGGUUGGGAACACCCAGAGCACAAUACAUCCAUGCUGACACAGAAAGGCAGUAAUGACUUGGCUGUGAACACAGAACACAAUACAUCCAUGCUGAAACAGAAAGGCAGUCAUGACUAUGCUGUGAACACCCAGAGCACGAUAUAUCCAUGCUGACACAGAAAGGCAGUAAUGACUAUGCUGUGAACACACAGAGCAAGAUAUAUCCAUGCUGACACAGAAAGGCAAUAAUGCCUAUGCUGUGAACACCCAAAACACAAUACAUCCAUGCUGACACAGAAAGGCAGUAAUGACUUGGUUGUGAACACCAGGAGCAAGAUAUAUCCAUGCUGACACAGAACGGCAGUAAUGACUUGGCUGUAAACACAGAGCACAAUACACCCAUGCUGACACAGAAAGGCAGUAAUGACUUGUCUGUGAACACAGAACACAUUACACCCAUGCUGACACAGAAAGGCAGUAAUGACUUGGCUGUGAACACAGAGCUUAAUACAUCCAUGCUGACACAGAAAGGCAGUAAUGACUUGGCUGUAAACACAGAGCACAAUACAUCCAUGCUGACACAGAAAGGCAGUUAUGACUUGGCUGUAAACACAGAGCACAAUACAUCCAUGCUGACACAGAAAGGCAGUAAUGACUUGGCUGUAAACACAGAGCACAAUACAUCCAUGCUGACACAGAAAGGCAGUUAUGACUUGGUUGUGAACACAGAGCACAAUACAUCCUUGUUGACACAGAAAGGCAGUAAUGACCUUGCUGUGAACUCAGAGCACGAUACAUCCAUGCUGACACAGAAAGGCAGUAAAGACUUGGAUGUAAACACCCAGAGCACAAUACAUCCAUGCUGACACAGAAAGGCAGUUAUGACUUGGCUGUAAACACAGAGCACAAUACAUCCAUGCUGACACAGAAAGGCAGUAAAGACUUAGAUGUAAACACCCAGAGCACAAUACAUCCAUGCUGACACAGAAAGGCAGUAAAGACUUGGAUGUAAACACCCAGAGCACAAUACAUCCAUGCUGACACAGAAAGGCAGUAAUGACUUGGUUGUAAACACAGAGCACAAUACAUCCAUGCUGACACAGAUAGGCAGUAAUGACUUGGUUGUGAACACAGAGCACAAUACAUCCUUGUAUGACUUGGUUGUGAACACCCUGAGUGCCCUACAUGCAUGCUGACACAGAAAGGCAGUAAUGACUUGGUUGUAAACACCCAGAGCACAAUACAUCCAUGCUGACACAGAAAGGCGGUAAUAACUUGGUUGUAAACACCCAGAGCACAAUACAUCCAUGCUGACACAGAAAGGCAGUAAAGACUUGGUUGUAAACACCCAGAGCACAAUACAUCCAUGCUGACACAAAAAGGCAGUAAAGACUUUGUUGUAAACACUAAGAGAUCCAUACAUCCAUGGGGUGUGCCACAGCCGCAAAUUAGGCCCACUAUUGUGAACAAGGUUCUUAAAGUGAACACGUCUGGUUUUGUUAUGAGCACAUAGCACUCCAAGCCCAAAAGGCCUCGCAUUGAAUUGAUGCAAGAGAAGGCUUUGAAAAAUAACAGCAGUUUUGUUGAGUGGUCCAAUACGCCCUUCGACUUUCAACCUGAAGAAAGCAAAACUCAAACUCGUCUCUUAGCAAUAUCAGCAAGGCCAGCAUGUCAUCUCAGCUUCUUGAACUUCAGUGAACUUUACUAGCAAACAUGACAAACGUCAUUGAAGUGAAAGUCGAUGACAACCCCCUUCUUGCACAAGUACUACAACUCGCUUAAGAAAUUCAGCACAAAGACGUCUUGCGUAAUACUACCAAGCCUCCUAUCAAUAUCUCCUCCCAUGUUGGCUACAUCAACACUUAAAACAGCAGAGCCUUUGUGAGUUCGACUUCCGUCUCAGCGUCGAUGUCGCUUAGCAACAAUUGGAUGAUGGGCGUCGACAAAUUAGGCCGGACAAGUCACUCGAACUGAAACGAUCUGAUCCAACAGGUAGAGCAGGCGUUGCAUGACACGUCCGUUAAUGUGACUGACCUCGAAAUGUUGUUCUCGAAUUAUGUGAACCUUAGGCCUGGAGAGCAGUAUGCGAUUGAAACCUUUCAACAACAGUUGUUGUCGGCAAUUCAUGGGUUUGAAGUGGGGACUUCGGCGGCGGGACUCACUCCAUCUCUGUCUUUGGCCCAGUCGCAGCAGCAGCAACAAGAACAAUAAAGCCUGUUUCUACAGGAAACCAUGCAAUCAUAGAUCAGUACCUAGCUGAACAACUGGAUGUCCGGUCAGCUGGGCCCAGACGCCCAGUGACACUUCCUGGCCCAGGACCUUGGGGCAAAUGCUCAACUAGUCCUACCUGCAGGGUGGAGCCACUCUGAACCUGGGGCUCCAUACUUUCUUGGUCAGGAGCCAAGAUUACCUCGUCAAUAAGGAACACAUUCCUGGGAUGCCCUAAGGUCUUUCUAUCUGUUCACAGAGGUCUUAUACUCACAAGUUCAAGCCCAGUGAGCGAUGUUCACAUUAUCAAAAUCUGCAUCUCAAUAGAAACCAGGAUAGCAAAGCGUUGGUUUGUUUUUGAAGCAUUUGAACCAGCAACAGUCAUCAUUCGAGUUUCUGACAUGCCAAUGGUGCGGAACCCCUCAAUCUAAGAACAUCAUAACAGCACAUGAACCAGCAGCAGUCAUCAUCUCAAGAUUCUGGUAUAUCCAUGGUACAGGACCCUUAGUCUGUACAAAUCUUGCAGAACGAAUUUCAGAUGCAAUUGGAGGAAAUCAAACCAUCCAAUCAGAAACACAGCCUGUUGCAGCUAUUGUUAACAUAUUGACCCCAGUGAUACCUAAGAAGCUCAGAGUUACAUACUGUUUUAAAUGUGCUAGUCUUCACAUACCUCCUGGUUUGUUCAACACUUACUCUGAAUCUUUGAAUGUUAUGAAGGGUGAAAAUGAAUGACCUUGUUCAGAUCGAAAUGGCAGAAUGACACAUCACAACAAUUCAAGUGGAAAGCCACAAAGUCAUGUCAACAGCCACAUGUUGUAUGUUGCCAGCCAAGUUGUAUUAAAAAACACAAUAGCUUACGUUUUACGUUAUAUGUGACCAACCAAGUUAUAUUCAUUCAAAAACAAUAGUUUAUGUUUUAUGGGAAUGUUUAUGCUGUCAGUAUUUAUGUUGAAAUAUUUUGUUAAAUAUAGCAUGUCAAGUAUUUUAAAAGCAUGCAUAUGCAAUGUCUUUGUCUAUAUUAUCAUAUCACUACAUAUUUUGAUCCUGAUAAUGGUAAAUUAAUGGGAAAUACACUUUUAUCAAAGACUUUCAAAGUGUGACAAAGCUGUUUAAAUGAGGCUGGUAACUUGGACAACAUGAAAAAAAUAUUAGAGUAUUUUCAUGUUAUAAUACAUGUUUCAGUUUUCUGUUUUUUUACCCGUAUUAUAGAUAAGCUAUAUAAAAGUAGUGUUAAGAAAGUUUUAGAAGUUUUACGCUUCAGCUUUUUCUGUUUAUCAAUCUUUCUAAAAACAAUACUAGUAAAUCUGCUAAUUCCGGUCGGUAUUCGAACAAGAAUCUUGUUUAAUAGCAUUCAUGGGAAUCUAAAUAAAUUAUAUGCAAUAAUAUGUAAUCUACCUAAAAGUAUCGAUUCUGUAUUUACUACCAGUACUUUGUUGAUUUCAAUGCAUAUUGUUUGUUAAAUAUUCGAAAUGGCUCUUGGAUUUGGGGGAAAACUUAAAGGAAAACUAAAAAUUAAAAAAUUAUUUUUUUUAGAGUUUUAUGAAAAAUGGGAAAAGUUAUAAAUGUUAAUUUGUGUUGUUAGAUCAAAGACUAAGAUGCUCAUAAGUGUUUAAAUUUAUUUUCGGAUAUAAUAGUUUAUAAUGCUUUAUAUUUGUAUAUGCAUAUGAAGACGACCAGAAUGUAUCCUCUUUAAUCACUGAGUAUCUUAAUCAAUAUCUCUUGAUCACUGCAUACAUUGUAGAGGUAUAUUUUGAUAUUUAUACACAGAGCAACUGUGAAACAAUAGUAUUUUAAAUGUACAUUAUUUUUUUUGUGUGGCAAUUUUUAUAAGAUAAACUCACUGUUUACAUUAAUUUGUGCAAACCAUAGUCAUAAAAAUAUUGAUUGUGUGAAUCCACAUAUUUGUAUUAAACUGUUAAAAUAAUGUACAGUAACAGAUUCUGAAGAGAAAACUGUACUCAAUGAAAUAUAAACCCCUUGUUAUAUUAACUGCUUUAUAUUAAGAACAGCUACUUAAAAUAAGUUUAAUUUUGUUUUACAUUAUCUAAAGAAAAUUUAGUACAUUUUUAUUUGAAAUCAGUCAUUUACAUAUUAAGGAAGAGUGUUGUCAUAUGCUAACAAUUGUCAAAAAAUGCGAUUGUCUCUAUUGGUAAAGUAGAGAGCAAUAUUAUUUGCUUAAACAAAAAAAAGCAAAGAUGUCUGCUUUGAAAGUGUAUGUGAAAUAAACACUUAUGUUUGUUCUUAUAUUAAACGUGAACCUAUUGAUGUAUAGCUGAUAAUAAAGUUUGACAUUUUAUUAGUUUUGUAACAAUGUGUUUUUUACCUUUUACGUUAACAUUCCCACAAUUGAUGUCAGUGCAGUGCCUUCAAUGGAGCCAUUUUCUGUAAAUCUCCCACUGUUAAAGUUCAGCAAAUGUUUUAAGACCAGAUUUCCUUAAACUUGAAGUUGUUUAUAUUUAACAUUUUUUGAAUGCAUGAAACAUGUUUGUUACGUUGUAGAAUAGCUGAAAAUAGCUGAAAAUAGCUUGAUGUUUGUAAAUUGUGUGACAUGUUGAUCAAAUUGAUACAUAGAGACCAACACUCAUUAUGCGUUAAUUUCUAUGUUUAGCUAAACAAAAAAUGUUACCAAACACAAAUAUAAGAUAUAUUCGUAAAACAGUAUCAAAUGCAUUUUGAAAUAUAAUGUUUAAAUAUGUUUGUCGACUCCAAAUAAGCAUUUUGAAUAAGCAAAUCAAUACAUUAAUAAUAUCUAUGGAAAGUACACUUAGGCACUUUUCAAUCGUUUGUGUACUUCAUAUUGAUCAGGGUCUUUCUAAAUUCAUGCAUGAUUUUUUAUGCCUAUGUCUGAAUUGUGUAAAUAUCUGUUAUAUAACUGUGAAAAAAGGAUUUUUAUAUUAAAAGUUAAAAUAGUGUAUAAACUGUAACGGGCAUCUGUUGCAUUUAUUUUUACGUGUUUAUAUUUUCUGGCCUACUGAGCUUAAGUUUGUCUAUAAUCGUGCGUACUUUUAUUGUCGUUUUCAAAUUAAGACAAAGCUCACUACACUUAUGCUGUUGUUUUUGUCCACCAUUUCUAUACAAAUUGUUGUAUGUAAAUAAUUUAACAUGUCGAUGUUGGUAAUAAUGUAUUUCCUAAUCUAAUAUUGAUGAUGCACUCAAUAAAGUACAUAACCAUUUA